rnacentral:lncRNA from 1 species
AUGUAUUUGUGGACAGUACAUCUGGCAAGUCAUCGAUAUCCAAAAUGUAAAUGAAACUCAAAUAGCAGUAAGAAAACAGCCCAAUUUGAAAAGAGACAAAGGAUCUGAAUGGACAUUUCUCAAAGGAAGACAUGCAAAAUACCAGACUGUCUGGUAUUCAGCGGGGGCUCAGUCAAUGUGAAAGAAAUGAAUUCUCCACACCCCACAGACGCGGACGCUGGGGCUCAGAGAGGUAGAGAGACUUGUCCACGGUGGAAAGGCAAACCCUGA